GGUAGAUGUCACAUUUGUAUUCUGUUGAGCCUUAUUGUUAGCUCACACCCAAGAAAUAUUUAAAUGAGUAAGUAACACAUGCUCACAUUCCUGGAUGAAUAUGGACCCUUUUGAGUAACAGAGCAUGCCAUCCCCCACACACUGCAGCGGAUGCUAUGGCUGCCAUGGGAGCUGGAUUUGAACCUGUGGAAAGAUGAUACUGACAACCAGAAAAAGGCUUCCUCACUGGGGACGGGGACUCUGUAUCAUCAUUGGCAAACAAUUCUUCCGUUAGCUUUGUGACUCCUGAUGUUUAAAGUGGAACGGCCUCUCUUAGGAAGGAACCACUGAUGGAGGAGGGCAGGGAGGACAUCUGUUUUAUCAUCACCUCCUGGGACAGGCUUUGAUACCAACAAGUCCUGCAGUUCUCAACUAAUGCAAGUCAGUUCCAGUGUCGGCCCUGAGACUUCCAGAACCCACGGCGUCAGAGCUGGAGCACCAGAAGUACCACUCAGAACAAGUCAGGCCUAACUCAGAAGGAGGCUUCUGGAUGUGUAUGAAGCUGCAGCGGGGUGGCAGACUGAAUUCAACAGAAGCCACUCCAACUACCUUGUAAUAACCCUUUGAUGCCAAAAGAGAGAAAAAUUAAAA